rnacentral:rRNA from 1 species
CCCUUAGAUGUUCUGGGCCGCACGCGCGCUACACUGUUCGACGCAGCGAGUCUUAACCUUGACCGAAAGGUUUGGGUAAUCUUCAGCAAAGUCGAACGUGAUGGGGAUCGAUCAUUGCAAUUAUUGAUCGUGAACGAGGAAUUCCUAGUAAGCGCAAGUCAACAGCUUGCGUUGAUUACGUCCCUGCCCUUUGUACACACCGCCCGUCGCUACUACUGAUUGGAUGUUUAAGCGAGGUUCUCGAACUGCUAGCGACUUAGCUUCGGUGAGGUCGCAGUGUGGGGAGUGAACCUAGCUUUGGUGUCUAGAGAAAGUAAAAGUCGUAACA